UUUAAUUGAAUCAUUCGAUUAGGUAUUUGAAAUUUGAACAGAAGUACAGACUACAGACUAUAAAUUCGUCCAAUGUUGUAUUCAUACAUUUUAGUAAUAAAUUUCCAUAUAUAAGUAUAUUCUUUUUGGUAAAACAUCCAAAGUAUAGCCUUGCCACAUUAUCUUUUUCAUUCAAUGGUUGGCAUGACCUAUGAAUAGAUAUAUAUUGAAGAUGUUGCUGAUAGGCUGUUAAAAGAAUCGGGGUGUCCUACGUACAUACAUUCAACCACAGCUUACUUCUCAACAAGGAAAGACAAACUUCUAAGCGAAUACCAAUCACCUUCAGUAGCACUCAGAAUCAUGUUUGUGAAUAAAAUUAUUUGUCAAACACUUAUUUAUAAUUAUAAGAAAACUUUAUUUUUAAAUUUUAUAAUUAAAGAGAAAAGUACCGUUGAUUGGGAUUACUUUGCUCCGAUUUUUCAAAUUUAUAGUGAAUAGAAAUAGUAGUAGAAGCUUGAAACUAGUUUAUUCUAAUUUAUAAUCAAAUUGAAUGUAACCGGGAAUGUAACUAUUAAAUUCAUCUUUGAAUGAUUAUUCAGAGAUCACUUUGGAAUAAAUGCCAAACGUAUAAAUGUAAAUUACCUAAAUUAAGAGUAAUUAAAAAACAUUUUGUGAAAGGAACAAGAUUACUGCUAAUAUUUAAGUCUUAAUAUUAUUAACAAAUAAAUACAAAUAAUAGAUAUUUGUAUAGCUUUUUACUAUAUAUUAACAUUUAGUGUAAAUAGUUUCUGAUUGACUUAUAUGUAAAAAUAUUCUAUAAAAUAAUUAUUCAUAUAAAAAUAUCCUAACAAUUUAAUGCAAGGAUUUUCAUAAAUUACAGCAUCCUUAAGACACAAAAAAUACAUUUGUACAUUAUUUAUGCACUACACCUACCAAAUUAAAAUUUUACAAAAUUUUAGUUCACUAUUAUGGUGUAGGUACUUAUAGUACUAACACACACAAUAAAUUGUUAUUUGAAAACUGUUAUUUAUUGAAAAUUGUUAUUUCGUAUACCUAUUAUUAUUUACUAAAUACCUACAACAAAACUAAAAAUAUGAUUACAUACUGAGUGCCUAUAAUAAAUAUGUGAUAUAUUUAUAUAAAUAUAUGAAAAUUGAAUUUUUAUUACGAAUACUUAUCAUUUACACAGACCACAAGAAAAAAUAAUUAAAAAAAUUAAAGGACACAUCAUUGUAUAAUGAAUACAGUCAUCAAUCCUCUUAGAAUUUAAAAUCUAAAAUAUAACCGAUACAUUUAAAAUUAACAUAUUAAAUCAUUAUUAUUAAUUUCGUACUCAUCAGUAUUCGGAGAAAAUGAUAGACUUGGAAUUUUACAAAUCUAGUUGGUAUCGUAGUCGGUACUGAUGUACUGUAAAUUUGAUGUAUUUACUAUACCUUUAUGUUAACUCUAAAA